rnacentral:rRNA from 1 species
UACGUAGGUGGCAAGCGUUGUCCGGAAUUAUUGGGCGUAAAGCGCGCGCAGGCGGUUCUUUAAGUCUGGUGUGAAAGCCCACGGCUCAACCGUGGAGGGUCAUUGGAAACUGGGGAACUUGAGUACAGAAGAGGAAAGCGGAAUUCCACGUGUAGCGGUGAAAUGCGUAGAGAUGUGGAGGAACACCAGUGGCGAAGGCGGCUUUCUGGUCUGUAACUGACGCUGAGGCGCGAAAGCGUGGGGAGCAAACAGG